rnacentral:piRNA from 1 species
UAAACAAGCAUGGGAGGGUGCAUCACAGCC